GCCCAUGUUUUUAAAAAUAUGUCCAAGCCCAUGUCUUUAAGUCUUUUAACUCUUUUAAGUGUUAAGUGUAAACCUACUAACAGAAGCUCACGUUAGAGUCUAAUGUCUUUAACUUAAAUUAUUAGACAGAGGUUGUAGAUUUGGAGGUUCCUAUAGAAGAUACUUCAGUAACAUCAGCAUUUGCUGCAACUCAAGCACAUGGUAAUGCCCUAAUACUUCUUCCGUGGGUAGUCCUCCUAAAAAGUAGAAAAGAACAACUCCUUGUAGUCAAGGCCCUAGCCUUGGGAUAAUGAUAGAAAAACAUCUGAAGUUUGGGAUCAUUACGCAAAGUUUUUUCAAUAAAAUGGGAGAACUGAGGGAAAAAUGCUAGUAUUGCCCCAAAGUUUGGGAUCAUUACACAAUUUUUUUUUA